rnacentral:rRNA from 3 species
UUUGACCUCGGAUCAGGUAGGAAUACCCGCUGAACUUAAGCAUAUCAAUAAGC